AACGGAGAGUUUGAUCCUGGCUCAGGACGAACGCUGGCGGCAUGCCUAACACAUGCAAGUCUAGGGGUAGCAAUACCACUGGCGCACGGGUGAGUAACACGUAGGUAAUCUGCCCCCAUCACAGUGACAACCUCGGGAAACCGAGGCUAAACACUGAUGAGGCCGAGAGGUCAAAGCGAAAGCGGAUGGGGAUGAGCCUGCGGCUGAUUAGCUAGUUGGUGAGGUAAUGGCUCACCAAGGCGACGAUCAGUAGCUGGUCUGAGAGGACGAACAGCCACACUGGAACUGAGACACGGUCCAGACUCC
rnacentral:rRNA from 1 species